ACGGAACAUUACACGGUGGCUUGAAGAUAUGACUUUUAUCUUCUCGUGUUAAAAACAAUAUUUUACUCACUCGCUGCGCUCGUUCGUAAAAUAUUGUUUUCACCACUCGAAGAUAAAAGUCAUAUCUUCGCGCCGUCGUGUAAUAUCCUCUAUAUAUUUAGGGGGUUUUGUCAUUACCCAACCGUAACACGUAUUUACACAGCUGAAAAUGGAUCAAAGCGUUUUAAAUUCUAAGCCUAUAAAUGAUCAACCUCGUUCCAGGCUCUGGGAACGAGGUUGAUGAAUGAUACGUCCUGCAAUAUGUACGCAUUGCGUACCUAUUUUUUCAAACGCCACUUCAGAACGUGGAGUACUUUGUGA